rnacentral:rRNA from 1 species
AGCGAACGCUGGCGGCAGGCUUAACACAUGCAAGUCGAGCGGGCACUUCGGGGUCAGCGGCAGACGGGGGAGUAACACGUGGGAACGUACACUUCGGUUCGGAAUAACGCUGGGAAACUAGCGCUAAUACCGGAUACGCCCUUACGGGGAAAGGGUUACUGCCGAAGGAUCGGCCCGCGUCUGAUUAGGUAGUUGGGGGGGUAAUGGCCUACCAAGGCGACGAUCAGUAGCUGGUCGGAGAGGAUGCUCCGCCACACUGGGACUGCGACACGGCCCACACUCCUACGGGAGGCAGCAGUGGGGAAUAUUGGACAAUGGGCGCAAGCCUGAUCCAGCCGUGCCGCGUGAGUGAUGAAGGCCUUAGUGUUGUAAAGCCCUUUUGUCCGGGACGAUAAUGACGGUACCGGAAGAAUAAGCCCCGGCUAACUUCGUG